UUUUUUUUUUUUUUUUUUUUUUUUUUUUUUUUUUUUUUUUUUUUUUUCA
rnacentral:ribozyme from 13 species